UACGGAGGUGGCAAGCGUUGUUCGGAUUUAUUGGGUGUAAAGGGCAGGUAGGUGUCCUGGAAAGUUCUGGUUGAAAUCCUUCAGCUCAACUGGAGAACGUGUCAGAAAACUGCCAGGAUUGAGUAUGGGAGAGGAGAACGGAAUUCCCGGUGUAAGGGUGAAAUCUGUAGAGAUCGGGAAGAACACCAGUGGCGAAAGCGGUUCUCUGGACCAAUACUGACACUGAACUGCGAAAGCUAGGGGAG
rnacentral:rRNA from 1 species